UCGGGAAUUUUGCACAAUGGCCGAAAGGCUGAUGCAGCAACGCCGCGUGAGUGAAGAAGGCCUUCGGGUUGUAAAGCUCUGUUGCCCGUGACGAACGGCCAGCUCAGGAAAUGGGGUUGGUUUGACGGUAGCGGGAGAGGAAGCCCCGGCUAACUACGUGCCAGCAGCCGCGGUAAUACGUAGGGGGCGAGCGUUGUCCGGAAUUAUUGGGCGUAAAGGGCGUGUAGGCGGUCGUGUAAGUCAGGGGUGAAAACCCAGAGCUCAACUCUGGGACCGCCUCUGAAACUGCGUGACUUGAGUGCUCUAGAGGGCAGUGGAAUUGCCGGUGUAGCAGUGAAAUGCGUAGAGAUCGGCAGGAACACCAGUGGCGAAGGCGACUGCCUGGGGAGUAACUGACGCUGAGGCGCGAAAGCUGGGGGAGCAAACGGGAUUAGAUACCCCGGUAGUCCCAGCCGUAAACGAUGAGUGCAAGGUGUGGCGGGUAUCGACCCCUGCCGUGCCGGCGUAAACGCAAUAAGCACUCCGCCUGGGGAGUACGGCCGCAAGGUUG
rnacentral:rRNA from 1 species